rfam:Phaeosphaeria nodorum SN15 scaffold_6, whole genome shotgun sequence.
ACAUACGACCAUAGGAAGAUGAAUAUUGGGCUUCCCGUCCGCUCAGCCUUACACAAGCAUCUUACCGGCGGAUCAGUAGUCAGGUGGGUGACCACUGGCGAAUCCCCGCUGUUGUAUGUU